rnacentral:rRNA from 1 species
AUUGAACGCUGGCGGCAUGCUUUACACAUGCAAGUCGAGCGGCAGCACGGGGGCAACCCUGGUGGCGAGCGGCGAACGGGUGAGUAACACAUCGGAACAUGCCCAGUCGUGGGGGAUAACACUUCGAAAGAAGUGCUAAUACCGCAUACGUCCUGAGGGAGAAAGCGGGGGAUCGCAAGACCUCGCGCGAUUGGAGUGGCCGAUGUCAGAUUAGCUAGUUGGUGGGGUAAAGGCCUACCAAGGCAACGAUCUGUAGCUGGUCUGAGAGGAUGAUCAGCCACACGGGGACGGGGACAGGGCCGAGGCCCCAGCGGGGGGGGGCAGGGGGGAAUUUUGGACAAGGGGGGCAACCCUGCUCCAACCGUCCGGGGUGGGUGAAAAAGGCCUUGGGGUUGUAAAGCUCUUUGGGAGGGAAGAAAACGUGGGGCUCAAAAAUGGCUGGAUAAGGAGGGUACCUGAAAAAAAAGCCCCGGCAAACUCCGGG